UAUAGACAAAAACGUGCACAAAAAGGUAGACAAAAAGAAAGACACUGCAAAGACAAAAAGAUGAAGACAAAGGAAGUCUCAAAUGUGGUUACAAAAAUAGCAUAAAAAAAGUGCUCAAAAUGGUACAAGAAGAUUGACAAAAAGGUACACAAAAUGGUAAAUAUAGUGGACGCUAAAUUAAUAAGAAAUGAUUACAAAAUAGUAAACACCAAUAUCUAGACAGGCAAAAGUUCACCAAAGAUAAGUAAAUUUUGAUACAAAGUUAGACAAAAAGAGGUCGACAUAAUAGUAUAUAAAAGAUAGAGGAAAAGGUAAAAAAAAAGAAACCCGCAGGUUGAGACAAAGUUAGAGACCAAUGUAGACUUAAACCUAUACAAAAAGGUAGACACAAAGGUAGACAUAAAGGUAGACACAAAGGUAGACACAAACGUAGACAUAAAGGAAGGCACAAAGGAAAGCAUUAAGGUAGACAUAAAUGUGAAUAUAAAGAUAGAUAUAAAUGUA